rfam:Ictidomys tridecemlineatus contig088425, whole genome shotgun sequence.
GGGGUUGUGGCUCAGCCGUAGAGCGCUUGCCUAGCGUGUAUGAGGCCCUGGGUUCGAUCCUCAGCAUCACAU